UGCAAACUGCGAAUACCGGAGAAUGUUAUCACGGGAGACACACGGCGGGUGCUAACGUCCGUCGUGAAGAGGGAAACAACCCAGACCGCCAGCUAAGGUCCCAAAGUCAUGGUUAAGUGGGAAACGAUGUGGGAAGGCCCAGACAGCCAGGAUGUUGGCUUAGAAGCAGCCAUCAUUUAAAGAAAGCGUAAUAGCUCACUGGUCGAGUCGGCCUGCGCGGAAGAUGUAACGGGGCUAAACCAUGCACCGAAGCUGCGGCAGCGACACUAUGUGUUGUUGGGUAGGGGAGCGUUCUGUAAGCCUGUGAAGGUGGCCUGUGAGGGUUGCUGGAGGUAUCAGAAGUGCGAAUGCUGACAUAAGUAACGAUAAAGCGGGUGAAAAGCCCGCUCGCCGGAAGACCAAGGGUUCCUGUCCAACGUUAAUCGGGGCAGGGUGAGUCGACCCCUAAGGCGAGGCCGAAAGGCGUAGUCGAUGGGAAACAGGUUAAUAUUCCUGUACUUGGUGUUACUGCGAAGGGGGGACGGAGAAGGCUAUGUUGGCCGGGCGACGGUUGUCCCGGUUUAAGCGUGUAGGCUGGUUUUCCAGGCAAAUCCGGAAAACCAAGGCUGAGGCGUGAUGACGAGGCACUACGGUGCUGAAGUGACAAAUGCCCUGCUUCCAGGAAAAGCCUCUAAGCAUCAGGUAACAUCAAAUCGUACCCCAAACCGACACAGGUGGUCAGGUAGAGAAUACCAAGGCGCUUGAGAGAACUCGGGUGAAGGAACUAGGCAAAAUGGUGCCGUAACUUCGGGAGAAGGCACGCUGAUAUGUAGGUGAAGCGACUUGCUCGUGGAGCUGAAAUCAGUCGAAGAUACCAGCUGGCUGCAACUGUUUAUUAAAAACACAGCACUGUGCAAACACGAAAGUGGACGUAUACGGUGUGACGCCUGCCCGGUGCCGGAAGGUUAAUUGAUGGGGUUAGCGGUAACGCGAAGCUCUUGAUCGAAGCCCCGGUAAACGGCGGCCGUAACUAUAACGGUCCUAAGGUAGCGAAAUUCCUUGUCGGGUAAGUUCCGACCUGCACGAAUGGCGUAAUGAUGGCCAGGCUGUCUCCACCCGAGACUCAGUGAAAUUGAACUCGCUGUGAAGAUGCAGUGUACCCGCGGCAAGACGGAAAGACCCCGUGAACCUUUACUAUAGCUUGACACUGAACAUUGAGCCUUGAUGUGUAGGAUAGGUGGGAGGCUUUGAAGUGUGGACGCCAGUCUGCAUGGAGCCGACCUUGAAAUACCACCCUUUAAUGUUUGAUGUUCUAACGUUGGCCCCUAAUCGGGGUUGCGGACAGUGUCUGGUGGGUAGUUUGACUGGGGCGGUCUCCUCCUAAAGAGUAACGGAGGAGCACGAAGGUUGGCUAAUCCUGGUCGGACAUCAGGAGGUUAGUGCAAUGGCAUAAGCCAGCUUGACUGCGAGCGUGACGGCGCGAGCAGGUGCGAAAGCAGGUCAUAGUGAUCCGGUGGUUCUGAAUGGAAGGGCCAUCGCUCAACGGAUAAAAGGUACUCCGGGGAUAACAGGCUGAUACCGCCCAAGAGUUCAUAUCGACGGCGGUGUUUGGCACCUCGAUGUCGGCUCAUCACAUCCUGGGGCUGAAGUAGGUCCCAAGGGUAUGGCUGUUCGCCAUUUAAAGUGGUACGCGAGCUGGGUUUAGAACGUCGUGAGACAGUUCGGUCCCUAUCUGCCGUGGGCGCUGGAGAACUGAGGGGGGCUGCUCCUAGUACGAGAGGACCGGAGUGGACGCAUCACUGGUGUUCGGGUUGUCAUGCCAAUGGCACUGCCCGGUAGCUAAAUGCGGAAGAGAUAAGUGCUGAAAGCAUCUAAGCACGAAACUUGCCCCGAGAUGAGUUCUCCCUGAGACUUAGAGUCUCCUGAAGGAACGUUGAAGACGACGACGUUGAUAGGCCGGGUGUGUAAGCGCAGCGAUGCGUUGAGCUAACCGGUACUAAUGAACCGUGAGGCUUAACCUUACAACGCCGAAG
rnacentral:rRNA from 1 species